AAAGUCGUAACAAGGUCUCCGUAGGUGAACCUGCGGAGGGAUCAUUCACAUGAUUAAAUCUUUUUAAACACAAACUGUGAACUUUAUAUUUUUAACUAUUCUACAUCAAUUUAUUGAUGUUUACAUUCGAUGAACAUUAGAUAGUUGGCUUGUUAAUUCAUUUUAACUUUCUCAGCUUUGAAAUAUAUAACUCUAAGUUAUAUAAAUCAACCAUAAACAUAGAAACAACUCUAUGCCCUGGAUAUCUUGGUUCUC
rnacentral:misc_RNA from 1 species